GAUGAACGCUGGCGGCGUGCCUAAUACAUGCAAGUCGGGCGAAUGGAUUAAGAGCUUGCUCUUAUGAAGUUAGCGGCGGACGGGUGAGUAACACGUGGGUAACCUGCCCAUAAGACUGGGAUAACUCCGGGAAACCGGGGCUAAUACCGGAUAACAUUUUGAACCGCAUGGUUCGAAAUUGAAAGGCGGCUUCGGCUGUCACUUAUGGAUGGACCCGCGUCGCAUUAGCUAGUUGGUGAGGUAACGGCUCACCAAGGCAACGAUGCGUAGCCGCCCUGAGAGGGUGAUCGGCCACACUGGGACUGGGACACGGCCCAGACUCCUACGGGAGGCAGCAGUAGGGAAUCUUCCGCAAUGGACGAAAGUCUGACGGAGCAACGCCGCGUGAGUGAUGAAGGCUUUCGGGUCGUAAAACUCUGUUGUUAGGGAAGAACAAGUGCUAGUUGAAUAAGCUGGCACCUUGACGGUACCUAACCAGAAAGCCACGGCUAACUACGUGCCAGCCGCCGCGGUAA
rnacentral:rRNA from 1 species